rnacentral:RNase_P_RNA from 1 species
UGAGUAAGCCAGAUGAUCGCGCAUACAAACCGAAAGGUUGUAUGUGAGGAAAGUCCGGGCUCCAUAGGGCAGGGUGCCGGGUAACUCCCGGUGAAGGCGACUUCAAGGAAAGUGCAACAGAAAUAUACCGCGUUACAGGCAAACAGAUUGUUUCCUGUAGCGUAAGGGUGGAAAGGUGAGGUAAGAGCUCACCAGCGGCAUGGCGACUUGCCGGUCUAUGUAAACCCCACCUGGAGCAACACCGCAAAAUGGGACAUAUAACGGUUGCCCGCCGGUCCCGAUAAGGUGGCUUGAGCUUUGCAGAAAUGUAAGGCCUAGAUAGAUGAUCAUCUAAUACAGAACCCGGCUUACAGACUUACUCAUACA